GCUUACGGCCAUACCAGCCUGGGUACGCCCGAUCUCGUCUGAUCUUGGAAGCGAAGCAGGGUCGGGCCUGGUUAGUACUUUGAUGGGAGACCGCCUGGGAAUACCAGGUGCUGUAAGGA
rnacentral:rRNA from 1 species